rnacentral:rRNA from 1 species
CACUAGUUGUGGGGACCUUCCACGGUCUCUGCGUCGCAGCUAACGCAUUAAGUGCCCCGCCUGGGGAGUACGAUCGCAAGAUUAAAACUCAAAGGAAUUGACGGGGCCCCGCACAAGCAGCGGAGCAUGCGGCUUAAUUCGACGCAACGCGAAGAACCUUACCAAGGCUUGACAUAUACAGGAAUAUGGCAGAGAUGUCAUAGCCGCAAGGUCUGUAUACAGGUGGUGCAUGGUUGUCGUCAGCUCGUGUCGUGAGAUGUUGGGUUAAGUCCCGCAACGAGCGCAACCCUCGUUCUGUGUUGCCAGCAUUAAGUUGGGGACUCACAGGAGACUGCCGGGGUUAACUCGGAGGAAGGUGGGGAUGACGUCAAAUCAUCAUGCCCCUUAUGUCUUGGGCUGCACGCAUGCUACAAUGGCUGGUACAAACGGCUGCGAUACCGCAAGGUGGAGCGAAUCCGAUAAAGCCAGUCUCAGUUCGGAUUGGGGUCUGCAACUCGACCCCAUGAAGUCGGAGUUGCUAGUAAUCGUAGAUCAGCAACGCUACGGUGAAUACGUUCCCGGGGCUUGUACACACCGCCCGUCACGUCACGAAAGUCGGUACACCCGAAGUCAGUGGCCCAACCGCAAGGAG